rnacentral:rRNA from 1 species
GUCGUCAGCUCGUGUUGUGAAAUGUUGGGUUAAGUCCCGCAACGAGCGCAACCCUUAUCCUUUGUUGCCAGCGGUCCGGCCGGGAACUCAAAGGAGACUGCCAGUGAUAAACUGGAGGAAGGUGGGGAUGACGUCAAGUCAUCAUGGCCCUUACGACCAGGGCUACACACGUGCUACAAUGGCGCAUACAAAGAGAAGCGACCUCGCGAGAGCAAGCGGACCUCAUAAAGUGCGUCGUAGUCCGGAUUGGAGUCUGCAACUCGACUCCAUGAAGUCGGAAUCGCUAGUAAUCGUGGAUCAGAAUGCCACGGUGAAUACGUUCCCGGGCCUUGUACACACCGCCCGUCACACCAUGGGAGUGGGUUGCAAAAGAAGUAGGUAGCUUAACCUUCGGGAGGGCGCUUACCACUUUGUGAUUCAUGACUGGGGUGAAGUCGUAACAAGGUAACCGUAGGGGAACCUGCGGUUGGA